CAGGCAGCUUACUAAACUAUAACUGACGCUGAAGCACGAAAGCGUGGGUAUCAAACAGGAUUAGAUACCCUGGUAGUCCACGCUGUAAACGAUGAUUACUAGCUGUUUGCGAUACAAGUAAGCGGCUAAGCGAAAGCGAUAAGUAAUCCACCUGGGGAGUACGCCGGCAACGGUGAAACUCAAAGGAAUUGACGGGGGCCCGCACAAGCGGAGGAACAUGUGGUUUAAUUCGAUGAUACGCGAGGAACCUUACCCGGGCUUGAAAUGACUUGACCGAUCUGGAAACAGAUCCUCUAGCAAUAGCAAGUAUGUAGGUGCUGCAUGGUUGUCGUCAGCUCGUGCCGUGAGGUGUCGGCUUAAGUGCCAUAACGAGCGCAACCCACAUUGUUAGUUACUAACAGGUCAAGCUGAGGACUCUGACAAGACUGCCAGCGUAAGCUGGAGGAAGGUGUGGAUGACGUCAAAUCAGCACGGCCCUUACGUCCGGGGCGACACACGUGUUACAAUGGGGGGUACAAAGGGCCGCUACCUGGCGACAGGAUGCCAAUCUCUAAAACCCUUCCCAGUUCGGAUUGGAGUCUGCAACUCGACUCCAUGAAGCUGGAUUCGCUAGUAAUCGCGCAUCAGCAUGGCGCGGUGAAUACGUUCCCGGGCCUUGUACACACCGCCCGUCAAGCCAUGGAAGCUGGGGGUACCUGAAGUACGUAACCGCAAGGAGCGUCCUAGGGUAAAACUGGUGACUGGGGUUAAGUCGUAACAAGGUAACCA
rnacentral:rRNA from 1 species